rnacentral:rRNA from 1 species
CGUCUAUAUACGUAUAGCAUAUCAAUAAGCGGAGGAAAAGAAACUAACUAGGAUUCCCUCAGUAACGGCGAGUGAAGCGGGAAGAGCUCAAAUUUGAAAUCUUCAAGGUUUUACCUUGACGAAUUGUAGUUUAAAGAAGUGUUUUCUGUUGGAAUUUUGGUAAAAGUUCUUUGGAAAAAGACAUCAAAGAGGGUGAGAAUCCCGUAUUUGACCAUUAUUUCCAGCUUUGUGAUACACUUUCAAAGAGUCGGAUUGUUUGGGAAUGCAGUCCAAAAUGGGUGGUAAAUUUCAUCUAAAGCUAAAUACUGGCGAGAGACCGAUAGCGAACAAGUACCGUGAGGGAAAGAUGAAAAGAACUUUGAAAAGAGAGUUAAACAGUACGUGAAAUUGUCCAAAAGGGAAGCGUUUGACACCAGUGUUGUUUUCUCGAAAAUCAAUUAAAAAUGAUUGGAUUUUGUGUUGUAUUGACUUUAUCAGCUUUCUGCACUCCUUUCUUAUCUUUUUUAAUGCACUUUUCGUUUAACAAGUCAACAUCAAUUUCUUUUGUUGUAAAAGGGUCAUUGGAAGGUGGCUUUCUUUUCGGAGAAAGUGUUUAUAGCCUUUGACUUCUGCAAUCGGAGAGAUUGAGGUCUGCAGCGUAGAUCCUUCGGGGUUAGAUGACAUUUGUGCUAAGUUAUAGCCUUUCAUAGACAACUUGUUGACUAUGAUCAGUCAUGUAGCUUACUCGCUUAUGUCAUUUUACCUACGCUUAGGAUGUUGACGAUCAGCUGAGCGCG